rnacentral:rRNA from 1 species
UACGAAGGGGGCGAGCGUUUGUUCGGAUUUACUGGGCGUAAAGGGCGCGUAGGCGGCCCUCCUAGUCGCGUGUGAAAGCCCCGGGCUCAACCUGGGAAUUGCGCGCGAAACGGGGGGGGCUUGAGUUCGGGAGAGGAGCGUGGAAUUCCCAGUGUAGAGGUGAAAUUCGUAGAUAUUGGGAAGAACACCGGUGGCGAAGGCAGCUCGCUGGGACGGUACUGACGCGUGAG